AGUUACUCCCGGAAGCCCUGGGACGGGUGGUGAGGGGCCCGGGCGGAUGGCGCGCCUUAGAGAGGAUGCUGUUCGUGCUGCUUUCCGUGCCGUGUUUUCUGAAAGGUUGGAGGAGAUUAGGUGUCUCUCGGGCUGACAUUUGAAGGUCUGGAGCUGGCCGUUUAUGAGGGUUUAUAAGGGUUUUAAGCGCUCCGGCCAUGGGCGCCAACCCGAUCUUCCAGCCCCUGCGGACGGACUGCCCCCCCCCGCCCUGGGGGGAUUGGCUGCUCUGGGACCCCGAGCCCAGAGGACAGUGAGAAGCUGACAAACCUUAAAUACAGACCAGAAGAGGAGUUUGGGGCUUGACACCUGACGUCUUAACACCAGUUCCUGUUUCUUGAGGAAGGAAGAGGUAAAAUAAAUCAGCGUUUACUGUGUCCUUCUCCAUCCCCGGAAGUCUUCAUGAAGACCCUCUCAGCUUCUACUUGAACGUGAAUAUGAGCAACUGAUCAUCUGUUCUGCGGUCAGCCCCUGGCCUGAUUCUGACUCAUGAUAUUGACCUUCUCCAUCAUCACCUUCCACAAAUUUGAUUCCUAUCUAUUCUGCCUGGAAUAGUUCAUGAGUAUAGUCACCAUUUAUGUUCCUGACGAAAGACAUUAUGCUCAUUCUCAGGGCCCUGAGACCUCAUCUGCAGCAGGUGAAGGCAUUCGUGGAGAGAGGCGGUUUCCGUGCGUGCAGGCAAAGUGUGUGCUGAGAUGAGUCGCUGGAGACUGGGGUGGACUCUUCAGACCCAGGAUAGGCCUCUGGCAGGUAUAUGUCAAUGUUUUCUGCCCAUGGCACUCACCCGGAUAUUUGCAUACAAUGUUAUCAGUGGAAUUAGUAGUCUCCAGAGAGGCUGCCACAUGUCAGCAAGCUUCACCUGGCCAGGUCCGCCCAGGAUGUAGCUCCCCAAUCAAUCACUACUCUCUAGACCUUCCAGAUAGACUAGCAGAUCUUCUCUGCCCAUGGGCAACCAGUAGAGCCAGAGGCCUUCUCUCUUUGCUCUUUCGUCUCUAGGCAUUCUAUCAGGCAUUCCAAGCUGUGAAGUGCCUGGGAGGAGAAGGAAGAGAUUUCAGAGAAUGAACACAUACAGAGAGACAGGCAAGAGACGGAGAAGGCAUUCGUGGAGAAAGGCAGAUUCCAUGUGUGCAGGCAAAGUGUGUGCUGACAUGAUGAGACCCUGGAGACCAGGGUGGACUCUUCAGACCCAGGACAGGCCUCUGGCAGGUAUGUGUCAAUGUUUUCUGCCCGUGGCACUCAACCGGGUAUUUGCAUACAGUGUCAUCAGCAGAAUUAGUAGUCUCCGGAGAGGCUACCACAUGUCAGCAAGCUUCACCUGGCCAGAGUCCACCCGUGAUGUAGCUCCCCAAUCAGUCACUACUGUCUAGACCUUCCAGAUAGACUAGCAGAUCUUCUCUGCCCAUGGGCAACCAGUAGAGCCAGAGGCCUUCCCCCUUUGCUCUUUCGUCUCUAGGCUCUCUAUCAGGCACUCCAAGCUGUGAAGUGACUCAGGGAGAGAAGGAAGAGAUUUCAGAGAAUGAACACAUACAGAGAGAGAGGCAAGAGAUGCUGAGUGGGGAUGUCUUGCGUACUGAUAUCCUCAGGAAAGUGGGAAAAUUGGACCCUGGCCUGCUCUGCCAAUGCCGUGAAGCAGUCCACUCCAGGGGCUCCCUUGUGCCUGCAUAGCCUUUCCCAGGGUGUGCUCAAAUCCUGUGGCCACUAGGUGUCCUAGGUCACAAUGGAGGACCCUGUGUCAUCUGCCUGGCGGACUGGAUCUCUGCCAUUGGCUGAGUCUUGUCACCAGGCCCAUCAUAAGCUCUGCCCACUCUUCCGGUGGGGAGACUCUCUCCAUGGUGAUGGCAAAGAAACCUUAGUCCUGCCCACCUGGCCUUCACUUCACGUACCUGGCCUGCUGACCCUCACUCAGACCUCUGUGUUGAUCAAAAUGAAUGUCCGCCAGUGGCCCGGUGUCAGCGUCUGGUAUAAAGGAUUCGGGACUGUGCCUGAGGCAGAAGGCAGCCUAGGUCUGCGGGUACCUGGAAGUCUAGUGACUUGUGACGCUGCUGCCAGUGACAAAUGGUGACUCCCACACUCACAUAUCCCCUGGUGGCAGAAGGAUAGUGAUGGGUGGAGAAACAUGGCUCCGGAGCACACGUUCAGUGGGGCACCGGCGAAAUGCCAGGGCCAGUAGUGGACGUCGUGGAGCUGUAUGGCGAGCCAGUGAAGGGCCUAAGGAUUUCUCCGAUGAGGCAAAAUGCAGAUCAAGCCAAGGAACACAAAGAUAAAGCAGCUGAAGAAAUUAAAAAGGUUACUCAAGAACAUAAUUAAAAAUUUAAUAAGCUGUAAGAAACCAUAGAGAGACUGCAAUCAGAGAUUGAGAAGAUUAACAAUAAAAUUACAGUUAGAAAACUCAAUAGAAAGUAAGAAGAGCACAAUUGAGGAAUUGGAAGGCAGAAUUACUGAGAUUGAAGAUCAAACUCUUGGGACUAAUAUAUUUGAUGAGAAAGCAGAUAAAAGAAUUUUAAAUGAAGAAAUCCAAAGAAUCAUGUGGGACUUUAUCAAGAGAAAUAACUAUGAGUGAUUUCAGUACCAGAACAGGGAGGGCUAACAGAAAAUACAAAGGGAACUGUUGAAGAUUUGUUGGCAGAAAACUUCCAUGAUAUCAUGAAAGAUGCUCAUCGAAUUCCACAUAAGGUAGAUCUCAAAAGAAAGUGACCGAGACACAUAAUAAUCAAACUUGCCAAAAUCAAAUAUAAAGAGAAUUUUAAGAGAGGCUAGGGAUAAAGGAAGUCACCAACAAAGGAGAGUAAAUAAUAAAAAACUUGGACUACUCAGCAGAAAUCAUGCAGGCAAGAAGGCAAAGGGAUGACUUACACAAAAUAUUGAAGGAAAAAAAUUGCCAGCCAGGAAUCAAACCAUAACCCUGGCCCUCUGGCCCUCUGGCCCUCUGGCCUUAGCCCUCUAACUCUAGCCCCUAAGCCCUGAGCCCCAAAGCCCCUAAGACCCUAAGCCCUUAGGUCCUAACCCCCAAGGCCCUAAACUCUAACCCUAACCCAAACCCUAACGCCUAUACCCUAAACUCUACAACCUAAACACCUACACCCCAAAACACUACACAUCAAAACCCUACACACUAAACCCUAUACUCUAAGCCUCAAACCCUAAACCCAAACCUCAAACCCCAAACCCUAAACCUAACCGUAAACCCUAAUACCUAACCCUAACCCCUAACCACCCUAACCCUAAUGACCCUAACUCUAACCCUCGAACCCUAACCCUCUAACGCUAACAUGAAACCCUAAUCCGAAACCUGAACCCUCUAACUCUAACCUCUAGCCCUAACCCUCUAACCCUAGCCCUAAUCCUAACCCUAACCUCCAAACCCAACCCCAAACCCUAAACCUCAAAUCCCUAGCCCUAAACCUAAGAAUGAGCCUAAGCCUAACCCUAUCACUUAACUCUAAACCCUAAACCAUAACACUUAAAACCCUAACACGCAAAACCCUAACACCCUUAGCCCUAACACAUUUAACCCUAACACCCUAAACGCCAAAACCCUAAACACUAACACCCUUAACCCCAACCCCUAACCCCUAAACCCUAAACUUAAACACUAAACCGUCAAACCCUCUAACCCUAAUACCCUAAACCCUAACCCCAGCCCCCAGCCUUAAAGCUCACUCUAAGCCUUAAACCUUAAGCCCUAAACCCUAGGCUCUAAGCCCUAAGCCCUAAACUCUAAAUCCUAAAACCCUAAACUCUAAGCCCUAAGCCUAACCCUCUAAUCCUAAACCCCAAAACCUUACCCCAAACCCCUAAACCUUAAGCCCUAGCCCUAACCCCUAACCCUAAUCCUCUAAGCCUAACCCUCUAACCCUAACUCUCUAACCCUAACCACAACACCAACCCCAACCUCUGAACCCUGAAACCCUAACCCCCUAACCCCAAGCUUCUGAACCCUAAGCCUAAACCCUCUAACCCUAAACCCUAACCUUCACCCCCUCACACCCUCACCUUCUCACUCCCUCACUCUAUAAUCUUCUCACCUCUAACCCCCUCACCCUCUAACCCCUGACCCUCUAACUCCCUCAAUCUCUAACCCCCAACCCUCUAGACCCCAACCCUCUAACACCCACCCUCUAACCCCAAACCACAUAUCCCAAACAAACCCAACACCAACCCCAACCCUAAACCUAACCUCUAACUCCUAAAACCUAACCCAAAACCUAACGACUAAACCCCAACGACUAAACCCCAAAACCCUAAACCCCAAACUGCAACCCCUAACACCUAACCUGUAACUCCAAACUCUAACUUCAAACCCUAAACCUAACCCUAACACCUAACCCCAACCAAAAAAUCCUAACCCUAAACUCUAACCCCAAACCCUAACAACCCUAACCCUAACAUCCCUAACCCCAAACCCUAACCGUUUUUGUUAGCAGCCGUAGCACAUAACCACUAGCCACCAGGGUUUCCACGAGCAGUCACAGGAAUAGACAUAUGCACACCCGUGUUCACUGCAACAUUAUUCACAGUAGCAAAAAGAUGGGAACAACCUAAGUGCUCGUCCACAGAGGAAUGGAUAAACAAACUACGGUACAUACACACAGUGGAACACUACACGACAAUAAAGACCAAUGAUGAAUCUCCGAAACAUCUCACACCAUGGAUGAAUCUGGGGCGCAUCACACUGACUAAGUCAAUCACAAAAUGACAUAUACAGUGAGAGACCACUAUCAUAAAAACUCAUGAAAACAUUUACGCACAGAAACAAUCCUUGAUGUUCACCAGGGAGACGAAGAGUGGGUAGAGAAAAGCCAACUAAACAAUAACCAAAAAAACCAAACCCACUGCUGUCGAGUCAAUUCCAGCUCAUAGCGAUCCUACAGGACAGAUUAGAACUGCCCCACAGAGUUUCCAAGGAGUGCCUGGUGGAUUCGAACUGCAGACCUUUGGUUAGCACCGAUGGCUCUUAACCGCUACGCCACCAGGGUUUCCAACCAAACAACAGAUCGGUGGUAACUCUGGCGAAGGAAAGACGGUACACAAGACUGGGGAAUCAACCUCAGCCUCACUCUAACCCUAACCCUAAACCACUUGUGCCCGAGCCUAGUAACCCCAGCCCUAACCCCAACCCCCAACCACCUAAAACCUAUACCCCUAAACCUAACUCCCAAACCUCUAACCCCCAAACCCUAACCCCUAACCCUAAUCCUCUAACCCUUCUGCAUCUCUGGGCCUCUCGACUCUCCGUCUAUUUUCUCCCUCGAAAUCGUACUAACACUCAGUGGAAUUUUGAA